CCAAAAACAAAGACUUCUUGAUACCAGAAAAUUCCACUACUUGGUGAUGAUCCUCCCAUGUCCAGACCAGAAGGGAGCAUUAUAUUCAUGUAGCCUCAUCUCCGAACACAAGCCAUAGAAUUUGACCAAGUGAUUUCUGCAUCAGGCCCAUAAUAGAUGUUUGAACUAGAGCAUAUCUUCUAGAAAGACUUCCAGUCUUGAUUUAAAGACUUCAAGUGAUGGAGAAGCCAACACAUACCCAGAAUUACAGUUGUACUCCUAAAUUUUGGAUUAUGGAAUAACAGCAACAUACAAAUUCAGACCUGUGGAGUGACAGUGCCAUCAGCUGUUCCGAAUCUAUAUAGCCAAUAUGCAUUCCCAUGGUUAACUUGAGCCACUUUAGUAUA